UCUCUCUUAUCUCAGCAACACAGCAGUCCCUUUCCCCUUCUUCGUACGCCUCCAGGCCAUCUAGCUCGCUCGGAUUACGGCCGUCGGCGGCGGUGCUUCCAGAGGUGAGCGGCAUGGCAGGGGCGGGGGCGGAGGAGGCGGUGGUGGGCGAGAGCUUCGAGUUCGCCUUUGACAAGGAGGCCUUCUCCGACAAGAAGCUGCGGGUCGAGGUCGUCGGCAGCGACGACGCCGCCAGCCGCAAGCGCCGCCGCGAGGACGACAAAAGUGAUGAAGGAGAAUGUGUUGAUUCUUCUUCUAUAGUGAUGGCUGCACCAACUUUACGAGUCACUACCAUGCAUAUCAAUUCGGCCAUUCUUGCUGCAAAAAGCCCUUUCUUUUUCAAGCUUUUCUCAAACGGCAUGAAAGAGUCUGACAAGGGACAGGCAACACUUCGAAUAGCUGAUUCAGAGGAAAAUGCCUUCAUGGAGCUUUUGUACUUUAUGUAUAGUGGAAAGUUGACACCAACAACUGAGCCCACUCAUCUGGUUGAUAUCUUGAUGGCCGCUGACAAAUUUGAGGUCAUUUCUUGCAUUAAGCUUUGCGGUCAGUUGCUCACAAGCUUGCCUAUGACCCCAGAAUCUGCAGUGCUGUGCCUAGAUCUACCAUAUUCCAUUUCAAUGGCACCUGCCCUGGCAGUGGCAGCCAAGAAAUUCUUUGCUGAAAGAUACAAGGAUUUCCUGUCAACAAAGUUACAAGACGAACUGAUGAGGAUCCCUCUCGCAGGAUCCUAGCCAUCUUAUCAAGGAAUGACCUCGGAGUUUUACCUGAAGAAGCCGUCUAUGACUUUGUGCUCAGGUGGGCUGAUUCGCAGUACCCAAAUCCAGAAGAAAAACGCAAGAUCUUGAGUUCACAGUUACUUCCACUAGUACCACUAGUGCGAAGUAGAGUCAGAACCAUUGUACUUGAUUAGCCGUCUUGUAUAAUCAACUUCAGUCUAGAGUUGAUUAUCUUGUAUGUGGUAGACCCUGUAGGGCUGUAGGCUGGUGAGAUACAUAGUCUGGUUUGUGUGACUAGUGUACCGUGUUGUUGCCGUGUUUGUCCUGCUAUGCAGCAAAGUCGCUGAACUGUCUUUGUCGGAAGUUGGCUAAUAUAUUGCUGAUUACCUCUGUAAAACGAUGGAGUGUAAU
rnacentral:rRNA from 1 species